CCCGGCACAGCGUUGGAACAGUCUAUGGUUAGAACACGUCGGGUGUUUAGGAUAACCUGAAAAUUUGAAAGCGCACAAAUAUCGAUCAUUGAUAUGAUAUUCGCCGAGGACGACGGUUCGACGUCCGCUCCGUAUCAGAAUGUUGUCGCGGAAAAAGAACGAAGAAUCUGUAAAAACUGUCGAACCUUCGGAAAAAGAGGCAAAGGAAAAUACGGCAGCAGUGGAAGAUCCUUCUAACAGAUCAAGUCGGUCCUUUUGGUUUCUCUGCGCCUUGAUAGCAUGUGUCAAACUUCUUCUAUCUCCCACAUAUCACUCGACGGACUUUGAAGUGCACCGAAAUUGGCUUGCAAUAACUCACAGCUUGCCAAUUAAAGAAUGGUAUGUCAAUGCAAAAUCCGAGUGGACCUUGGACUACCCGCCUUUUUUUGCCUGGUUCGAAUACUUUCUCAGUAAUUUUGCGAAGUCUGUUGAUCCGAAAAUGCUGAAUGUGAACAAUCUUGGGUAUGCGUCUGUGGCAACAAAAAUAUUUCAACGUUCGACUGUAAUUGUUACGGACUUUGUAUAUGCAUAUGGUGUUAAAGAACUAAGCCAAACGCUUCACCAGGAUGAAAAAAGCUUUGCCACGUUGAUAGUUUUAACUUUGUGCAACGUUGGACUACUGAUCGUUGAUCACAUUCAUUUCCAGUACAAUGGAUUUCUGCUCGGUGUGCUUAUGUUGUCUUUGUCCAAAGUUACCAGGAUUUCGAAGGAGAGCCAGGUUCUUCAGGGAGCAUUCUGGUUUACUGUUCUCCUCAAUUUAAAACACAUAUACGUAUAUGUAGCUCCAGCAUUCAUUGUGUGGUUGCUGAGAAUGUACUGUUUCAAAAAUAGACAAUGUCUAGUUAGAAUUUUAAUACUUGGAAGUAUCGUUAUUCUAACUACAACAUUGUCCUUUGGGCCAUUCAUAAGUCAAUUACCACAGGUAAUAACAAGAUUGUUUCCGUUCAAAAGGGGCUUAGUCCACGCUUACUGGGCAGCUAAUGCUUGGGCCCUUUACACAGGAUGUGAUAAAGUACUGUCAAUAAUUUGGAAGCAAUUUGGUUGGUCGACAGCAUCUGGUGCAGCCUCAAUGACUGCUGGAUUGGUUCAGGAGAACGUUUAUGCUGUUCUACCUACUCCCACUCCUGUUGCAACUUUUGUAAUAACGUUCACAAUGAUGCUUCCUAGCUUAUGGGUCUUGUUUAUUCGAAACAGUCACAAAACGCCACAGCAUUUUAUAAGGUGUGUCGUUCUGUGCGGUCUAACAUCGUUCAUGUUUGGCUGGCAUGUACAUGAAAAAGCUAUACUGACUGCGAUUAUUCCGUUAUGUGCCUUGGCAACAAUCGAUGCAGGUGAUGCCAAAAUUUUUAUUAUUCUGAGUGCAGCAGGACAUACGGCUCUUCUACCGCUACUUCACCAAAUUAUCUUUGCUCCAUUACGAAUAUUGCUGCUUCUAACGUAUACAAGCAUCACUAUAAUAAGUCUCUUCAAUCUGCAUAAUAAAUCGUUGCUGAGUAAUUACGAAUGGCUCUAUAUGAGUUGGCUGCCAUUUCUGCCAGUGUACGAAAACGUGCUGCACAAACUGCUGUUCGGUGAUCGUCUACCAUUCCUCCCCCUAGCCCUCACCUCGCUCUACUGUGCCGUCGGUGUUACUUACUCCUGGCUGUAUUUAAACAUAACAUUUUUCCGAGAUGGUAAAUACACGACGGAAACUGCAGUGACACUGGAUGGGAGUAAAAAGAAGAUCAAAGUUUUGUAGAGAUGAGGAGCUGACAGACGUGAUUACAUUCAUGUCUCUAAUAAUCGGAAGAUAAACUAAGAACAACGCCUGUUUUACUAGUAAUCUUGCAGUGGCUUGCACCAACUCCACCAACUGCCCGUAUUUCAUCGAGUGGCGUUCGCCUCCGUCCGUCAACGCCAUUUUGACUGUUGUGUCAAACGUGCAUCAGCCUGAUCAGUCAAU